UACGUAGGUGACAAGCGUUGUCCGGAUUUACUGGGCGUAAAGCGCGUGUAGGCGGGUCGGCAAGUCAGGCGUGAAAUCCCCAGGCUCAACCUGGGAACUGCGCUUGAAACUGCCGGUCUUGAGUAUCGGAGAGGGUGGCGGAAUUCCUGGUGUAGAGGUGAAAUUCGUAGAUAUCAGGAGGAACACCGGUGGCGAAGGCGGCCACCUGGACGAUUACUGACGCUGAGGUGCGAAAGCGUGGGGAGCAAACAGG
rnacentral:rRNA from 1 species